UACGUAGGGGGGCAAGCGUUGUCCGGAAUCAUUGGGCGUAAAGAGCGUGUAGGCGGCCCGAUAAGUCCGCUGUGAAAGUCCAGGGCUCAACCCUGGGAUGCCGGUGGAUACUGUCGGGCUCGAGUCCGGAAGAGGAGUGUGGAAUUCCUGGUGUAGCGGUGAAAUGCGUAGAUAUCGGGAGGAACACCAGUGGCGAAGGCGGCUACCUGGACCGGUUCUGACGCUGAGGCGCGAAAGCGUGGGUAGCAAACAGG
rnacentral:rRNA from 1 species